AAGGAGCACAUAGCAGCUUCGGGCGAAUGUCCCGGAGUGCUCGCUCAUGGGUGGAACGUUGACUAUUCGGCACACUGGGUUUGGUCCUGUUAGUACUGCUUCGGCGUGGAACACAGGGCGUCUCAUCCGGUGUGUCGGGCACGUUGUUGGGUCCUGAGGGAACGGAAACGUACCUCGGUGAUGCCGGCCCCAUGCUUGUUGAGGUGGGUGUCUGGUCGUUGUUUGAGAACUGCACAGUGGACGCGAGCAUCUGU
rnacentral:misc_RNA from 1 species